GGAAAUCCCACUUAGCCAAAGUGUGUCCAAAAACAUUGGGAUGUUGAUGAAUAUUUUGGAGAAAAUGGGGCAGGCUCAAGAAUUAUUUAGUUACACUUCCAUUUAUUUUAAUCCAAAAGAUUGGGAGAAUGUUUGCAAGACUUAAUUCUUUCUGUUCUUUCCAUAGUAACCACUCUUUUUAAUACCAUUUCAAAUGUUUAGUGUUUUAUAUCAUAAAAGGGAAGAAUGUUGCAAGAUCCUUCCAGGUCAUGUCUAAGGUAUUUUCUUAGAAGAGGCCUUAACAUUUUCAAGGGAAUUGGAAACCCUAAAGAAGCAUUAAUGAGCCAGCCGUACCAUCUUAUGAACGAAAAGGUGAAAAGAGUUCAAGAGAUCCUGAGUUUUGUUCCAAACAACUUUGUACCUGCAGUGAAAAAGUACUUAGGGGAUUAUUUUAAAAUGUCAACAAAGCCCUCAUGCAUGUCAUCUAAUUUUCAGUCUAGUACUUAUCUUUUAUUUUGUUUUCUAUAGGGGGUCCUAAAAGACUUAAGCAAUUUUAAACUGCAUUAUUAGUGCUCAAAUACAUUCUUUAAAAUGAAGUUUUCCUUUAAGAUGACAAAAAGUUAAUUUCACUUCUUUUUUUGGUAAAGUUUUCUUUUUUUUAAAAACACAUAUUUCUAACAUGUGUGCUGAUUUCUGGAAUAAUUGAGUCAGCAGAAUAGCACAAGGUCUGUUGUCAAUAACUGACAAAAAACAGUGGCUUCAGAUGGCCUGACUCAACAGCUGGAACAGCUCUGAACAUAAACCUUUAACCUCCAGUUCUGCUGAAAGAUUCAAAGAGACUUUUGGAAUGGAGUCUUACUUGGAGAGAAAAAAUUAUGGGCCAAAGCAAGAAUCCUGGACAAUGGUAAAGUAGAUGGUUCUUUUCUUGAUCCAGUUCUGCUUAGAACAUACAUCUGAAAAUAUGUUUAAGUCAAGUAGAAAUAGUUGUUGGGUGUGAACAUGCACUGGAUCCAAUCAACAGGGAUUUAUUAAGUGCCUGCCAUACGCCUGGUGCUGUGUUACAUGAUACAAAGAUAAAAAUGAAACAGCCCCUUCCCUCCAGGAGGAUCUUGCAUUCUAAUGGGGGACCUGCAUGCUCUUGUAUAGGUAUAUGCAAAUCAUAUAAGGAGAAGAUACAAGGUGACCUUGGAGGGAAGGCACUGAUAGCUAGAGGGACUGGGAAAGGCCUGCUGCUGAAGGUAGUGCUUGAGUUCAGGACUGCGUUUGAUAUUUGAUCCUGGAGGGAACAUCCUUUGGCCCAGAGGCUAGUGCAGGGAAACAUUGAUCUGCAAGUCAUUUGCAUAAAGAGCACAAUUAAACCAUGGGCCUGACCAGGUUGCCAAGUGACAGAGUAUAGGGAGAAAAGAAAAGAGGGCCCAGGCCAGAGUCUUGGGGUAUGUGGAGAGCUAGGGAUCUUCUCCAAAGAUGUUAUCAGAAUUAAUUAUUCCAUUUAUCCAUAUUUAUAAAGGGCAUUGAAAUUCACAUAAGAGAAUAGUAGGAGUCCACAAUGGUAUGGUGGAGAGCACGGAAUUUGGUGCUGACGUCCUGUCUUUGGCAUUUUAUUACCUGUGUGACCUAAGCAAGUCACAUCUCUGGGUCUCAGUUUCUCCAUCUGUAGAAUGAAUAGGUUGAACUAAAUGACCUGUAAGGUCUCUUUCAGAUCUAAAUCCAUGAUUCUAAGCUGAAAAAAACAGAAGCAAUUCACAAAAAGUCCGUAACUCCUUCAGUAGCUCUUGAAGUAGAGGCUCUCAUGUAACACACAGGGUACAAUUUGGGAGAUUUCUCACAUCUUUGAUUUGUUGCCUCCACCCAGAAAAUGUGGGAGCUUAAACUACAUGAAACCACCUAAUACAGUACUUCCAACUCCCCUUGCAAGCAUGCAGUUAAAAAAACUCAAGGAAAAAAAAAUUUCAAGUUACAAACACAAUGCCUGGCACAUAGUAGGUGCUUAAUAAAUGUUUUUUUUUUAUGAUUGAUUGAAAAUAA
ensembl:lncRNA